rnacentral:rRNA from 1 species
CGGCGAGUGGCGAACGGGUGAGUAAUAUAUCGGAACGUACCCAAGAGUGGGGGAUAACGCAGCGAAAGUUGCGCUAAUACCGCAUACGAUCUAAGGAUGAAAGCAGGGGACCGCAAGGCCUUGUGCUCCUGGAGCGGCCGAUAUCUGAUUAGCUAGUUGGUGAGGUAAAGGCUCACCAAGGCGACGAUCAGUAGCUGGUCUGAGAGGACGACCAGCCACACUGGAACUGAGACACGGUCCAGACUCCUACGGGAGGCAGCAGGGGGGAAUUUUGGACAAUGGGCGCAAGCCUGAUCCAGCAAUGCCGCGUGAGUGAAGAAGGCCUUCGGGUUGUAAAGCUCUUUUGUCAGGGAAGAAACGGCUGUGGCUAAUAUCCACGGCUAAUGACGGUACCUGAAGAAUAAGCACCGGCUAACUACGUGCCAGCAGCCGCGGUAAUACGUAGGGUGCAAGCGUUAAUCGGAAUUACUGGGCGUAAAGCGUGCGCAGGCGGUUUUGUAAGUCUGACGUGAAAUCCCCGGGCUUAACCUGGGAAUUGCGUUGGAGACUGCAAGGCUAGAAUCUGGCAGAGGGGGGUAGAAUUCCACGUGUAGCAGUGAAAUGCGUAGAGAUGUGGAGGAACACCGAUGGCGAAGGCAGCCCCCUGGGUCAAGAUUGACGCUCAUGCACGAAAGUGUGGGGAGCAAACAGGAUUAGAUAUCCUGGUAGUCUAUGCUCUAAAUGAUGUCUACUAGUUGUCGGGUCUUAAUUGACUUGGUAACGCAGCUAACGUGUGAAGUAGACUCGCUCUGGGGAGUAUGGU